GUUGCACACAAAACCCAAAGUCAUUAUAUUUCAUUGUUUUAAUGUCUUUUUUUUAGUGUGCAGAAAUUAAUUGUACCUUCGUCGCCUUUCGAAAUCUUUUAUGUUUCGCAAAGUGAAAUUGAAGGUACAAUAUGC